UGCUUAUGUUUUCCUCUUCCAAAACAAACUCGGAAAAAUCAAUCUCAUACCAACCAUGGAGUGGAUUCGAGGUGAGCAACUCGGCCGUGGAAGUUUUGCCACCGUCAACUCAGCAAAACCCAAAAACCAGUAUUCUCUUAAAACCCCACCAUUGAUGGCCGUCAAGUCCUCUGAAGCCUCCUUCUCCGCUCUGCUCAAGAAUGAGAAGCAAGUCCUCAACCAAAUUGGCUCUUGCCCGCAAAUCAUCCGCUGCUUCGGAGACGAUCACACGUUCGAAAACGGUACCGCGUUCUACAACUUGUUUUUGGAGUACGCCAGCGGUGGCUGCUUGGCCGAUCAGCUCAAGAAAAACGGCGGCCGGUUGCCGGAGAUGGAUGCUAGACGAUACGCAAGAGAAGUUCUUAAAGGGCUUCGGUGUGUUCAUUCAAACGGGUUUGUUCACUGCGACGUAAAGCUUGCGAAUGUUCUUGUUUUUGAGAAUGGCGCGGCGAAGAUUGCGGAUUUCGGACUUGCCAAGAAGGCGGGGACGACCGGUAACAGAGUCGAAGUCCGGGGAACUCCUCUUUACAUGUCGCCAGAAUCAGUGAACGAGCAAGAGUUUGAGUCCCCAGUGGAUAUUUGGGCUUUUGGGUGUUUAGUGGCUGAGAUGGUGACAGGGAAACCGGUCUGGGAUCAUUCUCCGGGCUCGAAUAUGUGCAACCUUUUGAUGAGAAUAGGAGGAGAUGAGUCGCCGGGAAUUCCAGAGGAAUUGAGUGAAGAAGGUAGAGAUUUUCUUGGUAAGUGUUUCUUGAAGGAUCAGAGAAAGAGAUGGACGGCGGAGAUGCUUUUGGAACAUCCCUUUGUUAUUUCGGAUGACACUGUUCCAUUGGAGGAUGUUGAGGACGACUUGUUCUCAUCUCCAAGAGGGCCUUUUGAUUUCCCUGAUUGGGUUUCGAUGAUCAGUUCAGAUAUUUCACCGGAAUUUUCUGAGUUGGAGGCAAGUGAUUUUGGUUCUGGCUUUGAUUCAUCGGAAACGAGUUCAAAUCCGGCGGCCGAUAGGUUGCGGCGUCUGGUGGCGGAUGAGACACAGGAAUGGUCAGUUUCCGGGAGUUGGGUGACUGUCAGGUGAUUCUAUUGGGAGUAAUUCUGGGGCAGAGUAGAAGCAGAGUUAGAACAGAGGAAGCUUCAACUUGUAAAUAUUAGGGUAGGACAAAAACAGAUGAUUUUAACAGUCUGGUCUUACUUUGGAUGAUCUAGUGGUUCUGAUUGGUUCCAUGGUUAGGUUUAGUGAAGGAAUUCUUCUUCUUCUCUUGACUUGGAAAGUUCAAGGAUGGCUUCAACUCUUAUCUGUUUAAGUGCAUGAAUAUGGUGAUGUAGUUCUAAAGGCCUAACUGAUUGUGAUGACAUAUUGACCCACUUAGGGGAAGACCCAGGUUGUUUUGCAAUAUCGAGUCGAUCUUAGCUUGUUCUCAACUCAUGAGUAGUUUGAUCCUUUGCAUUAAUCAGAGAGAAUCCUAUGAAUCCUAUCUGAGGUGGAGCUAGAUUGGACUGAUGUAUUCAUUUUACAUUACAAAACAAAACUUCUA